CGGGAGCGCGCGUGAGAGCGGCGUCCGGCGCUGCACGGCCCUGCGGAGCUGCGGCGACCCGACUGUACGGCCCGGAAAAUAAAUAUGCUGCAGGAAGAGCUUAGCUGAUCACAGAACACACCAUGGGCAUCUAUUUUCUUGCGUUCAUUGUGGGGUUUUGCUGGGCACAGUACAAUCCCAACACUCAGCCCGGGAGAACGUCUAUCGUGCAUCUCUUUGAAUGGCGCUGGGCCGAUAUUGCUCUGGAAUGUGAGCGCUAUUUAGCUCCUAAUGGGUUUGGAGGAGUUCAGAUUUCGCCUCCAAAUGAAAAUCUUGUCAUUGCUGAUCCCUCACGUCCAUGGUGGGAAAGAUACCAGCCAGUCAGCUACAAACUCUGCACGCGAUCGGGAAACGAAACUGAAUUUAGAGACAUGGUGGCCAGGUGCAACAAUGUUGGUGUAUAUGUUUAUGCAGAUGCAGUAAUAAACCACAUGUGUGGAGGUAAUGCUGGUACUGGCAAUCAUUCUACUUGUGGAAGCUAUUUCAGUGCUGAGAAGGAAGAUUUUCCAGCUGUGCCAUAUUCUGCCUGGGAUUUUAAUGAUGCUAAAUGUAAAUCCAGAAGUGGAGACAUUGAGGAUUAUCAAGAUGCAUAUCAGGUCCGAAACUGCCGCUUAGUCAGUCUUCUUGAUUUGGCCCUGGAAAAGAACUACGUGCGCUCCAAGAUUGCAGAGUACAUGAAUUACCUCAUUGACAUCGGUGUAGCUGGGUUCCGGAUUGAUGCCGCCAAGCAUAUGUGGCCAGGGGAUGUGAAGGCAAUUUUGGAUGAGCUGAAAGAUCUAAAUACGAAAUGGUUUUCUGCAGGAGCUAAGCCUUUCAUUUAUCAGGAAGUAAUUGACAUGGGAGGAGAGCCAAUCACAGGCAGUCAGUACUUUGGAAAUGGCCGAGUAACAGAGUUCAAGUACGGUGCAAAACUGGGGACGGUGAUCCGCAAGUGGGAUGGAGAGAAGAUGGCCUACUUAAAGAACUGGGGAGAAGGCUGGGGCUUUGUGCCUUCUGACAGAGCCCUGGUCUUUGUGGAUAACCACGACAACCAGCGGGGGCACGGGGCAGGCGGAGCUUCCAUUCUUACCUUCUGGGAUUCCAGGCUUUAUAAAAUGGCAGUUGGUUUCAUGCUCGCUCAUCCGUACGGGUUCACGCGGGUGAUGUCAAGUUAUCGUUGGCCAAGAUAUUUUGAGAACGGACAGGAUGUCAACGAGUGGGUUGGACCACCGAGUAACUCGGAUGGAUCGACGAAGUCCGUGACAAUCAAUGCCGACACAACCUGCGGCAACGACUGGGUCUGUGAACAUCGCUGGCGACAAAUAAGGAACAUGGUUGUCUUCCGUAACGUGGUAGACGGUCAGCCUUUCUCAAACUGGUGGGACAACAAUAGCAAUCAAGUAGCUUUUGGUCGUGGCAACAGAGGCUUCAUUGUCUUUAAUAAUGAUAACUGGUUUCUCCUCCAAAUGAAAACAUUGUCAUUACUAAUCCGAACCGGCCCUGGUGGGAAAGGUACCAGCCCAUCAGCUACAAGAUCUGCAGCCGAUCAGGCACUGAAGAUGAAUUCAGAGACAUGGUGACCAGGUGCAACAACGUUGGAGUUCGCAUUUAUGUGGAUGCUGUUGUCAAUCACAUGUGCGGAUCUAUGGGUGGCACAGGCACCCACUCAACGUGCGGGAGCUAUUUCAACACCGGGACUAGAGAUUUUCCCGCGGUGCCGUACUCUGCCUGGGAUUUCAACGACGGCAAAUGUCGGACCGCCAGUGGAGACAUCGAAAAUUAUGGGGACAUCUACCAGGUAACUCUUGUUGAUUUCGAUUUUGAUAUUUUUUCUCGUUUAAAUCUUGAUGUGUACAGUAAAGCCAAAGAAAGGGAGUAGUUUAUCUGGGGUUGAACGCUUAGUCCCCUUACUAGUGAAUACAGUGGUGUACAUCAUAGGCUUCUCUUCCGGAAACGCACCUGUGCUGCCCAGUACUGUAGGCACUGAGAAGUCACAAACCCUACGCAUGUUUCACGUGGGCAUGUGAAGGAGCGUGCGUCUGAACCGACUGAGCCCAAGCCUCUCAGUUUUGCCAGCGGGCUCUUUCUUAGGACUUUUGAAAUCAACUACCCUUGUUAAGGGAGCCCAGGAAAAUUGGGAGCUGUGCAGGAUGCUACCCUGGUUGUGUUGGUCGGUCCGUUUGUCUGUUCUUCCAUUUGGAUGUGGCAUGGGUUGUCAGUUCUUUAUGAAGGUUACAGCUCAGCAUCAUUUAGCUGUAACGUUCUUCCAGUCACGAGGGGCUUGCUUGAUAGCUGUGACUUACCAGUCACCAUGGAGGGUGGCACUGUAAUCACAUCAGGCAGUGACCUCAGGACACCGGGGUGCAGAUUAUCAGGUCCCAUAGACUUUACACAUUCAGAGUCUUCAAGAGGUGUUAGACUUGCUCUUCUGUUACAGCGGGAGGGAAUUUUGCUCUCCCAGCCUCUCCCUAGAUGUUUAAGGACAUAAGAGAUAUGGGAAGCCUGACUGCCAGCAGAGAAUUUGGUUACCACGUCAGCCUUCGCUGUGUCUGUUGUUGCCUUUUCUUGCUUUUCAUAUAUCAGAGAGAGUGUGCUUUCCUUGGCCUUUGUCCUCUGCCCAGCGUACCUGUAGAAAUCCCAUCUUGUUGCUUCUUAAGUCUUGUGCGAAGUUCACUUUCAUCUUUGUGUCAGUUUACCUAUGUCUGCCUGCCUGGAAAGCAUCCCUGUAUUUUCCGCAGGUUACACGUCCUUUUACGUUUUCCUUCUUUUCCCUUUUUUUUUUUUCCCCAGCGUGUCAUUACUCUGUCACACACUGGUUUCCUGCCUUCUCCACUGUGUUUCACAUGUUGGGGGCUGGAGAUCUCUUGUGCUCUCAGAAAGGCAUCCUUUAUGAGCUCCUUUAUAACUCAGCGUAUGAGAGCAUAGUCUUCAUUUCCUUCUGUAAAUGGAGAGCUGUAGUAGUUUCUAUUGGAAUUUCAUAAUUAGCCUUCUUUGUCUGAAUUAACUGAAAGCUGUGAAACAUACUAAGUGUUGCGGAAUUAGAACCUGUCCAAAAGACCACGGUUUGGCUGGCGUUGUUCCUUCUUGGUAUGGGGGGAAAAAAAAACAACCAAGGAGUGUUUGAUCUGUUUUCAGCAGAUUUCAUAAUGAUGGGGCUUUUAAAAAUGGAAAUCAUUUUCUACACAAGGGUUUUUUGGUUGUUUAUUGUGUUGAUGAUUCUAUAUGCUGUUCAGAAAGAAUUGCUCAGAGAUAAGUAUCUUACAGAGAACCAGUUUCAUUCACUGUCAAGUCUUGGCAGAUAAGAAGUGCAGUGGUACCUGAUCUCUCGGUAGAGACAUCCAAUUUCUACACAGUUUGUGCUUUAGCGGAAUGCCAUACGUACCUCUUUAUGGUUAAAGACAGAAGCCUAAGAAUCAUUCUCCAAAUGGUUCUCUUUUGCCACUUGGCUGAAAUUUCUCAUAGUUUCUAGCAAGUUGGAUGAAGUAUUCUUCCAGACAGGGAGAAUGCAGAUCGGUCUGGCUGUAGCUUGUAGAAGAAAUUGGCUAAUGCAGUAAUGCAGCGUUAGGAAGGCCGUUCUUGUCAAAGUGCUAAAUUUUUUUCCCCCCAUCUUUCAGAAGUCUAGAACAGACUCAAGGCUUUGCUUCUGAGACACAGAGAGUAAGUACAAGUACAUUAGUUUAUGCAAACCAUUGAAACCGCCUCAUUUUUUUCACUGUUUUCUUGUCAGAUUUGACAUCUAGCUGCCUAGUUGGCCAGCUGUCCAUUCAUAAAGAACUGGGGCCCACGGAGAGCAUGUGGUGAAUACGACACUAAGUUCUGACCAUCUAGGAUGUACAUGUGAAAUCACAAUUAUAGUGGUCUGAGGAGGAAGAAAAACACUGGCAGUCUGAGGGCUGUUUUGCAAGAGAGAGAAGCUAAGCACUCUUAAUAUGGGAUCUCUGAAUCUAAUAACCUAAGAGCUCAACUGUCCUGCAGAAGUUCUCGAGAGAGCAAGUAGCUGAAGCUUCUCUUCAGCAGUUAAUCCCUUAGCUGCUAGACAUAAGAGUUUAUGUUCAAUUACAUUUAGUAGUUUCUUUUUCCAAAUGAUUAUUUCUGUUCAAAUUCUUCUCAUCUUAAAAGGUAGAAUCUUCCUUUUUUCCUGUAGGGAAAUAAAUGGUGCCCAAAGAAGGUGGUGAAUGCUUUGCGGAGUAUAGAAAAAAAUCAGACGAUAGUGUGAUGAUAGCACAAUGAUGUUGUUAAAUCCUUAUCUGAGCGCAUGGUUUUUGACAGUUUUGUAGGAGAGCGUCAGUCUAAGCCAAUCCAUCAAAUAGAUAGGGGAAAUACUUGAAAACUUGCAACCUGUGGCUGCAGGUGGGCCAUUGUAAUGGCAUGAAUUCUCACUGCGGUAAUUAAAACUAAAGAGUUUUCCUAGCAAAGAAUGUAUUAUCGUGUUACUGAUUUGGACUGCCCAAAAGGAUUUUUCCUAAGCACUUUUUGUUUUAAAUAAGUAAAACACACAAUAUGAAUUGGAGGGGAGAACUGCAACUACAAACUUAUAUCUGGAAAUCAGCUUUGUGGGAUGCCAGCUAGUAAGUUCUUAAGGAUGAGGCAAUUGAGUGUCAUUUAUGAGGUUGGUAAUUGCACCAUCUUAGAAUCAAGCAUCUUCUUUCAGCAGCUUUCCUAAAUAAAACCUCUGAAGUGAUCCCCGAUCUCGCCAAGUAAGAGAAGAGGGUUCCACGUGUCAGUGACUUCAGGCAGAACUAGGCCAGAAAGAGCUGGCUUCUAUCUCCUUACUUACAGCCUAGAAGGAGCAUCACCAUACAGGAGCCACUCCAGCACCCAGCUUUCAGAAGAGCUCAGCUCACAGCCACUGUUGAUGUUCUCCUCAUAAGAGUAGCUGAACAACAACCUGAGGAAAGAGAAAAGCUCUAAGUUGUUGGACCAACAAGGCAGACAACAUAGCAACAGGAACCCAAAGCACCUCACAAAAGGCCUGCUGGAGCUCCACCACAGAGUUCCGGACGAAGGCCUCUGCUCAGCCAGACCGGUCUUCUUCCCUAUCGGUUCAUCUUCUGUGAGUUCGGGAUGGUCAGCUCCUGCACCUUUAAAAUUUCUCCGUUACAGUAUUCCCAGCCUUCCUGGGACCCGCGUCCUCCAGAACUAGCUCCCAAGGGUCUCCGAAAGAGACCGUGAUCAGCCCUCGACCCCUCAAGUCUGGGACUCAGAAGUUUAAUGGAAAUGUCGCAAGCAGCAAAUCUGAAUGGUAAAGAGUUAAAACCAUAUGAAGAUAGUAAACUGUGACCAAAUUCUUAGAAAACACAGCAAAAUGUGUCACACCGUCUGCAGCUACAAAUUCUAUCUCUUCUACUUGUAGAUUGUAGAGCUGUGGGAUCCUGCCUACUGCCAAAGCCUUCUUGUGUGUGUAUGCGUGAAACUAGCUGCUCAUUAGGUGGUCUGCAUCAGCAGUGAGCUGGCCCUGGCUGCCAUGAUAGGAAGAGAAGGCUUUGUUUCAAAGAGAACAAUGCAAGUGGUCACGUGCAUGUAAGGAGCGAGUGCGCUGUCCAUACAAACUUGGAGAGUGAUCUCCCUUACCUUGAGAAGGAAGGUACAACUUGUGAAUACCUCAAAAUUCCUCAGGUAGAAGUGUUUCCUAAGCUGUGCAUGUCUGAUCUGCAGUGAAUGGUGAACAAAACCCCAAAAAAAGCAUUGAGCACAGAGCCCGUCGCUGAAAAUGAAAAAAAUUGCUGGAUGCGUAAUGAACAGGGCUGGAAGAAAGACCUGUUAGCAACAGUCGCAGUGUGACGGUGACUGAUGCAACCCCCUUCCCAGAAUGUCAACAUGGAUGGGGUAAUGCCAGGGAUUUGCAACGUGGGAAAGAGGAAAACUGGUUACUACAAAAUCUGCCCGGAGUUGCUACCGUCACCCGAUGCCUUUAUUAUUCCCACAUCGCUAAGGCAGCCCGAAUCGCACUGUCAAUCGCAAUCUCAGACACAAUAAUGAUGGUUACCUUCACAGGGUCUUUUUUGGCUAUUAUUUUCCUCAAGGCCAGCACAGCAUCAGCGUGAAUUCUGCUCGAUAAUGUUGCAACAGUAAGUGAAAACGUUGGCAAAAACUUUGGGAUGCGUUUGAUGCUGGCUGGCUCUCCUGCGUUGCCUAUAAGGCAAGGCCACGUCUUUAACAUGGCUUCUGCCGGGAGCUUUGGCAGCAAGGUCGCAGAGUGGCCGAGAUCAGAGCAGGCUGUUUUUAAUCGCAUCAGGCAGCGAUCCUGUAACAAUUGCAUAAUAAGAAACACACUGUCACAGCAAGCAAAAUGAUCUCUGGUGCAAAACCCUGAGUAAAGCUGCUCAGAUUUUAAUGCCAGAAAAAAAUCACAGCUACAAGUGAGGCACAUAAACACCUCGCUGCCAAACUGUCAGCGUUACGAGAAGCAAAUUAGACACUUUUUAAAACUUUAGUCACUCCUAAGGAAAUAAUAAGAGACGAGCAUCACCUACCUGAAGAAUUUCAUUAUGACAAAAUGAAGGCUGAGCACAGUGUUUAUUUACCAAGCUACCAUAUCCCAGGUAAACGAGUACUCACAGCAUUGGUGCAUUCUGAAUUUGGGGAUAGGUCAGAAAAGUCACUGAAUCGUAGAUUUGUAUAAUUGUUCAAUUUGGAAGAAACCUGGAAGAUCAUCGAGUCCAACCACAACCUAACCAGACUACCCUCACAACCCUCUGCUAAAUCAUGUCCCUGAGCAUCGCGUCCAAAUGGUUCUUAAACACAUCUGGGCAUGGUGUCUCAACUGCCUCCCUGGGGAGCCUAUUGCAGUACUUCACAGCCCUUUCUGUAAAGAAGUUUUUCCCCAUAUCCAAUCUAAGCUUCCCCUGGCGCAACUUGAGGCCGUUUCCCCUUGUCCUGUCACCUUUCACCGGUGAGAAGAGACCAACCCUGCUCUCGCCGUAAGCACUUUCCAGGCUUUAGAGAGAGCGAUAAGGUCUCUCCUCUGGCCUCCCUUCCCCCAGAUUAAACAGCACCAGUUCCUUCAGUCGCUCCUCGCAGGGCACAUUCUCCAAGCCCUUUGCGAGCCUUGCUGCUCUUCUUCGGACCUGCUCCGGCACCUCCACAUCCUUUCUGCGCUGAGGUGCCCCAAGCUGAACACAGUACUCGAGAUGAGGCCUCACCGACUACAGGGGCAGGAUGAUUUCUCUAGUCCUGCUCACCGCACUGUUCCCCAUACAAGCCAGCAUGCCAGUGGCCUUCCUGGCCACCUGAGCACAUUGCUGGCUCAUAUUCAGCCGACUGUCUGUCGGUGCACUGAGGUCCUUUCUGUAUGACAGCUUUCCAGCCACUCCUCCACAAGCCUGCAGGUUUGCCUGGGGUUGUUGUGACCGAAAACUGUCAUUUGUCUGCAAAACAAUGAAGUCAUAGUUGUUAACGUUUCCAUUUAUUAGCGCUGCUAUGCAGUGAAACGUUUGUAUCUGAGAAGAGAAAUUACUUUGGAUCGUCUCCUGUGUUCCUAUUUUCAAAAUUUAAAUCAAAUCCUAGUGAUUCAUUCAGCUACAGUUAAAGUAGAGCUGCUCCAUUUGGCAAACCACGUGAGAGCUGGGCACGUACAGCUGGAGCUGUGGGAUGAGGGCUUCCGGCACUGCAGCUGUGCUGUCGCAAUGCGGAUCAAUCUCGAGUUUGUGCACUGCUCUGCAUUGUCUGGAAGUGUCGCCAGACAGGCGAGAACUUUCACCCUUGCUUGCUGCACUACUGACAAUCACUGCUCUCACCUGGAUUCCACGGCUGCUAUGCCAUCGGGCUUGCCGAAGGGGGAAAUCUGGUACACCUCCUCCAACAUAGCAAAUGUCAUCGAGGCUCUGCUGUCGUAGUACUUGUAAGUGAACAGCGCUGUGCCUUUCAUGUUUUUUACUUUCUAAAAGUGCAAAGAGACACGAAUAUGAAAUGGAAAUAAUUAACUGGCGAGCCGAAUUCCCUGCCGGCAGCAACAGAGAGCAGUGGCAGGCAUGCAGCCCACCAUGGGGCAGGUGGGUCAGGGUCGAAUGUAGGUCAUGCCCGUGCAGUGUACCACGCUGCCCGGUUUUCAUCUUCAGCCUUCGUGACAAUGAAAUGAGGGGAUAUUCACCCAGAGACCGUUAUUUUACAAACACAUGGAUAUCAGUAACAUUUCUUGGUUUGAUUUGUGUAAUAAAAUUUCCUACAUCA